AUUAGUUUACGCAAGAGAAAGCGAGAUUAAAUCAUCAGUUAUUUUCUUUUUAAUAAUAUCAAGAAUCAGGUGCUACAGAAAUAACUUUGGCCAUCGCGGCGAAAUGUUCACUCCGUAUUGCAGAUGGUCACAAAUGUAAAUGAUUUUUUUUUUAUGUCAGUAAUUUAUUUAACUUUAUUGUCCAGUAUAACUUCUGAGGUUAUGUUUGACCGCGGUUAAGUUAUAUACGUAUUGUAACGAAAAAUAAAAUAAUAAAACUUCUGUUGUUUUAUAUUUUUAUAAUAAAAUACUUGGCCUCAUAACGCUAAAAUAGUUUUCAUCUUUAGUCAAUAACACCAAGCAAUUGUAGAAUGCAUAGUUAAUCACAAUUUCAAGAAAUGUCAAAAAAUUAUAUCACCUUUAAUUUUCUUACAUUCCUUAUAAUUACAUUUUCCAAAAAAUAUUUUUAUUGCAUUUAUGUGAUCGAAAAUAGUAGUACUCCAAAUCAUUCUACACAUAUUUAAUAUAAUGAUAUAUACAAAACAGAAAUGUUUGUAUCAAUUAAUGCUGUAUGCCAAGAAUGCUUUGAUCAGGUGCAUGAAAAAAAAUUAGCAACAAUGCAGGUACUAUUGCUUUACAACGAAUCAUUAUUUAAGAUGUUUGAAAAGAUGCGAAAAGGUCGACGGGUACACAAUGAAAAUUAACAUGUAGUUAAGAGACUAUCUGGAGUAUACAUUAAAUUUAUACUUUAGUAAAUGAAAACAAUAUCAGAGCAUUCAAUAAAUAUAUAUUCAAAAGCUUUUUUAUGAAACGGGUUAUUAUGAAAUCAUCUAUUAAAAUGACUAUGGAAAAAAAAAUAUCAAUUGAUCAAUAAAUAAACAUUGAGUAAAUCAAAAAUUUAUAUAUUACAAAUGAUCUUUAGAUUUGUAUACAGUUCAAUAUUUUAACAUCCCUUUUUCUAUUUAUGGAUAAUGACUACGGUUUAUGUGAUCUAGUUGAAUACACCAAAGUGCAAGUUUAAUACUACAAAAGUCAAGUGCUCUCAAGUUCUAAACACGACAGAAUGAGAGGUAAGUUUAAGUGGGAAUUUUUGCUAAUAAGACUGGCCAACUGUGUUAAUUCUUUUGAGACUUUCUUUGAGCCGUUAUGAUGACAAUCGUUAUAGCGGAUGGAGCUAAAUAUAUGAUAUAAUGUAGUAGCAAGAAAGUCCUAUACCUAGCCACGUAGUUAAGUAGCAAAGUUAUGUCGAAAAUAUAAGAGUGAAUUAUUCGAAAAUAAGUCCAAUUAGAGAAAAAUGAAGAGAGACCACCAUAGUAAAAAUAAAAAUGAGGCAAAGCUUAGCGCGAAUUGACCUUCAAAAGUCAAUGACUACUGAAAAACAUAAGGUUUACUCAACUUAUGGCUGAUAAGAUGCAUUAUUGUUCAAAUUACACAUUAUGCAAGUGAAAAUGGAGAAAAAAAUACGUCACGGAGAAAAAUAUACGUGGCAAAAAAUCUCUAUAGAGGACAGGAGCAUCACGACGAAAAACAAAUAUAUAGAAGCAUGUUAAACGGACAAAGAAAUAUGACUCCAAAACAUAAGACUCAUCAUCAUGAUUGACAGUACUGUUCCAAAAUCUUGAGAUUCGAAUUAACAUAGUAAUUAGUUAAUAGUAAUGAUUACCAGACCAUAUAAAAAACUACAGCUUAGUAUAUAUUAUAGUUUCUAGUUUUCAAAUUUGAAAGACAUAAAAACAUAUUUUAAUUUUAUUUAUUUUUAUAAUUACAGAUCAAUUAAAUUAAAAAAAAAAAAAAAAAACAUGAAUAUUCUGGGAAAAGCACUUCUAUCGAAUUUUAUUACCUUAAAUCUUGUGUCGGAAUCUACUAAAUAUAAGGCAGUGUUAGAUCUUAAUGAACCUAUUAAUCGUUUUUUAAGAUAUUUUAUGUUUUGAAAAUUUACAACACAAAAUUUAUUAUAGAUAAUAUAUAUUUUAAUUAUAUUCAAUACAAUUUAAAAAAGAGCCGAAGGAAGAUAGAAGUAGACGCUUUAGAUCUUUUUGUAUGAACCAAGUUAGGUAGUCAAGUGACUGGUAACUCGCUCGCCUUCAAAUUCUCAUAACUUCGAAAUAAUUCAAAUUUUGAUUUUUAAUUUUCACAGUAUAAUUUAAAAACAUAUAUAUUUCAACAAGUAAUAAUAAAAGUUUACUUUGACAUCAGAAGGUCUCCUUAAUUAAUAAUAAAAUUUAUACUCAAUCUAGUAUUCUAAUAUAUUAUUUGAAUGUAUCAUUUGUAUCUGUUUUUAUCGUUUUCUAAGUAUAUAUCGUAUCGAACAUUCUUCUCUACGAAUUUUCAAAGAAUAAUUUCUAUACUGUGUGUAGAAAUUGUUUUUAGA